rnacentral:rRNA from 1 species
UACCAGCACCCCGAGUGGUCGGGACGGUUAUUGGGCCUAAAGCAUCCGUAGCCGGUUCUACAAGUCUUCCGUUAAAUCCACCUGCUUAACAGAUGGGCUGCGGAGGAUACUAUGGAGCUAGGAGGCGGGAGAGGCAAGCGGUACUUAGUGGGUAGGGGUAAAAUCCGUUGAUCCAUUGAAGACCACCAGUGGCGAAGGCGGCUUGCCAGAACGCACUCGACGGUGAGGGAUGAAAGCUGGGGGAGCAAACCGG